GGGAGUGACAUCCUCCAAGGCUAAAUACUCCUGACUGACCGAUAGUGAACCAGUACCGUGAGGGAAAGGCGAAAAGAACCCCGGCGAGGGGAGUGAAAAAGAACCUGAAACCGUGUACGUACAAGCAGUGGGAGCACAGGUUUACCUGUGUGACUGCGUACCUUUUGUAUAAUGGGUCAGCGACUUAUAUUCUGUAGCAAGGUUAACCG
rnacentral:rRNA from 1 species